rnacentral:rRNA from 1 species
GGGAUGAGCUGUGGAUAGGGGUGAAAGGCCAAUCAAACUUCGUGAUAGCUGGUUCUCUCCGAAAUGCAUUUAGGUGCAGCGUUGCGUGUUUCUUGCCGGAGGUAGAGCUACUGGAUGGCCGAUGGGCCCUAAAAGGUUACUGACGUCAGCCAAACUCCGAAUGCCGGUAAGUGAGAGCGCAGCAGUGAGACUGUGGGGGAUAAGCUUCAUAGUCGAGAGGGAAACAGCCCAGAUCGCCGGCUAAGGUCCCCAAGUCGUGGCUAAGUGGGAAAGGAUGUGGGACUCCCAAAACAACCAGGAGGUUGGCUUAGAAGCAGCCAUCCUUGAAAGAGUGCGUAAUAGCUCACUGGUCAAGUGAUUCCGCGCCGAUAAUGUAGCGGGGCUUAAGUUAUCCGCCGAAGCUGUGGCAACCUGUGUGGUUGGGUAGGGGAGCGUCGUGUCAGUGGUGAAGCUGCCGGGUGACUGUGUGGUGGAGUUGAUGCGAGUGAGAAUGCAGGCAUGAGUAACGAAUGAUAUGUGGAAAACAUAUCCGCCGGAUGACUAAGGGUUCCUGGGUCAAGUUCGUCUUCCCAGGGUGAGUCGGGACCUAAGGCGAGGCCGACAGGCGUAGUCGAUGGAUAACCAGUUGAUAUUCUGGUACCCGUACAUGCGCGCCCAUGAUAAAGCACUGAUACUAACCACCGCGGAUGCACUGCUGACACUCUUUGAGUGUUGGUGGUGUUGAUGUCGUGGGGCCUGAUGUGUGGUUCAAGUGAUGGGGUGACGCAGUGAGGUAGCCACGCCACUUAUUGGAUUGGUGGUGUAAGCGUGCAGAUCGUGUGGUAGGUAAAUCCGCCGCACAUUUGGUUGAGACGU